rnacentral:rRNA from 1 species
CGUACACUCCUACGGGAGGCAGCAGUGGGGAAUAUUGCACAAUGGGCGGAAGCCUGAUGCAGCAACGCCGCGUGCGGGAUGACGGCCUUCGGGUUGUAAACCGCUUUCGCCUGUGACGAAGCGUGAGUGACGGUAAUGGGUAAAGAAGCACCGGCUAACUACGUGCCAGCAGCCGCGGUGAUACGUAGGGUGCGAGCGUUGUCCGGAUUUAUUGGGCGUAAAGGGCUCGUAGGUGGUUGAUCGCGUCGGAAGUGUAAUCUUGGGGCUUAACCCUGAGCGUGCUUUCGAUACGGGUUGACUUGAGGAAGGUAGGGGAGAAUGGAAUUCCUGGUGGAGCGGUGGAAUGCGCAGAUAUCAGGAGGAACACCAGUGGCGAAGGCGGUUCUCUGGGCCUUUCCUGACGCUGAGGAGCGAAAGCGUGGGGAGCGAACAGGCUUAGAUACCCGUGUAGUCCCA